rnacentral:rRNA from 1 species
AUUGAACGCUGGCGGCAUGCCUUACACAUGCAAGUCGAACGGCAGCACGGGUGCUUGCACCUGGUGGCGAGUGGCGAACGGGUGAGUAAUACAUCGGAACAUGUCCUGUAGUGGGGGAUAGCCCGGCGAAAGCCGGAUUAAUACCGCAUACGAUCUACGGAUGAAAGCGGGGGACCUUCGGGCCUCGCGCUAUAGGGUUGGCCGAUGGCUGAUUAGCUAGUUGGUGGGGUAAAGGGCUACCAAGGCGACGAUCAGUAGCUGGUCUGAGAGGACGACCAGCCACACGGGAACUGGAACACGGCCCAUACUCCUACGGGAGGCAGCAGAGUGGAAUUUUGGACAAUGGGGGAAAGCCUGAUCCAGCAAUGCGGAGUGUGUGAAGAAGGCCUUCGGUUUGUAAAGCACGUUUGUCCGGAAAGAAAUCCUUGGGCCUGAUACGGUCGGGGAAUGACGGUACCGGAAGAAUAAGCACCGGCUAACUACGUG